rnacentral:lncRNA from 1 species
CCGGUUGCGGGGAGGUUGCUUGAAUUCUCUCAGCUGCGCCCCCUGACCUAGUAGUCGCUGGCACAAGCUGCGCCCGGAGACGUGGGAGCGUUCUCUUGUUUUCCGAGUGCGCGGACUCAUCGGGUCACAGUUUAUGCUUUUAUGACGCGGGAACACAACAGAUUUGAGAAGCCUCGGAUUAAGGAAUAAUUUAUGAAGCUCCGUUGACUACCGUGGAGAGAUCAUAAUUUGGGGUUCAAGAUUCCAGUCUGUGUUUUUCCAGAGGUGCCCUGAGGAGCAGGGAAGCAUGGCUAUUGUGGAUGUAAAAGCCAUGUUCAAGGAUUGGUGACAUUCAGGGAUGUGGCUAUAGAUUUCUCUAAGGGAGAGUGGGAAUGCCUGGGCCCUGCUCAGAGAGACUUGUACAGAGAUGUCAUGUUGGAGAACUACAGCAACUUUGUGUCACCGGAUAUGCUGUCUAGAUAUGAGACCAAGGAGUUAACUCUUAAGAAUGGCACUUUUGAAAAGGAAUCAUUAAAAUGGAAAAUAAUAGAAAGUGUCAGAAGUUCUUGCCUUGAGGAAUCUUUUUUGGGAAAUGAUUGGAAAUGCAAAGGACUCUUUGAGAGACAACAGGAAACUACAGAGGAAUAUUUCAGGCAUGUAACUGUGCCAUUUGAAAAAAUAUCCGAAUUCAUCCAGCCUACAUAUUUUCUUCUAAAUCAAAUAAUUCAUACUGGAAAGAAACUCUAUGAACAAAAAAAAAAAUGAGAAAAUGUUACUCAACAGGGAAGAAUUCAUAUCAGUGACAAGCUUGACGAAAUGUGUGGGAACACCUCUGUAUUUUGCACAAAUCAUAUGAAACAUCAGACAAAUUUUAAUGCAAAGAAAUGCAAUGUAUUUAAAGAAUGUGGCAGAGACUGCUUGUAACUUUCAACUAACUCAAUAUCAAAUAAGUCAUGCUAAUCAGAAACCCUAUGAAUGUCAGAUAUGUGGAAAGCCCUUUAGAAAGCGUGCCCACCUUACCCAACAUAAUCGAAUUCACACUGGUGGGAAACCAUAUGAAUGCAAAGAAUGUGGGAAAGUGUUUAUCUGUUGUUCAACAUUGAUUCAACAUAAGAGAACUCACACUAGUGAGAAACCCUAUGAAUGUCUGGAAUGUAGAAAGACGUUUAGGCGGAGUGCACAUCUUAUUCGACAUCAAAGAAUUCAUACUGGUGAGAAACCUUAUAAAUGUAAGCAAUGUUGGAAGGCCUUUGCUUCUGUUUCUGAUUUAAUAGACAUCGGAAAAUUCACACUGAUGAGAGACUUUACGAAUGUACAGAAUGUGGGAAGGCAUUUAACAAUCGCUCAACUCUUAUUCAGCAUCAGAGAAUUCACACUGGUGAGAAGUCCUUUGAAUGUAAGGAAUGUGGCAAAGCAUUCAAUAAUUGCUCAACACUUACUCAACACCAGAGAACUCAUACUAAUGAGAAAUCUUAUGAAUGUCAGGAAUGUAAAAAGGCUUUUAGGCAAAGUGCACAUCUUACUCAACAUCAAAGAAUUCAUACUGGUGAGAAACCAUAUGAGUGUAAGUAAUGUGGGAAGGCUUUCACUUGUGUUUCUGAUUUUAAUAGACAUCAGAGAAUUCACACUGGUGAAAAACCCUAUGAAUGUAAAGAAUGUGGUAGAGCUUUUAACAAUUGUUCAGCUCUUAUUCAACACCAGAGAAUUCACACUGGUGAGAAGGCUUAUGAAUAUAAGCAGUGUGGGAAGGUUUUUGUCUCCUGUCCAACACUUGUUCAACAUCAGAGAACACAUACUAAUGAAAAACCUUAUGAAUGUCAGUAAUGCAAGAAGGCCUUCAAGCAUAAUGCACAUCUAAUGAGACAUCAGAGAAUUCACAGUGGGGAGAAACCCUAUGAAUGUAAUGAAUGUGGGAAUGCCUUCAUUUGUUUUUUUGAUUUUAAUAGACAUCAGAGAAUUCACAAAGGAGAGAAACCCUAUCAGUGUAAAGAAUGUGGGAAGGUUUUUAAUAAUUAUCCAACUCUUACUCAACAUCAAAGAAUUCAUACCAGUGUGAAACCCUAUGAAUGUAAGGAAUGUGUAAAGACCUUUACUUGGCUUUCAAACUUGAAUAAACAUCAGACAAUUCACACUGGUGACAAACCCUAUGAAUGUAAAGAUUGUAAAAAA